AUGUUUAAUGGAACUGUCAAAUCGACAUUUUGAUGCAUUAACUUUUCAGUUAAUCAUGCAUAUUGACUACUAUAAAGUCCAACUUUUUUAAUUUAAAAAGUUUACAGUGUUGCACGCAGAAAUAAAUCAAAAGGUUCUUUGUUCUAUUCAGUUAACAACAGCUUGGCUUGAAAUCAAAAUGGCAAAAUUAAGACUAACUGCUUUUCACAGGGGACCAGGAAUCGAUUUCACACGAAGACAACCAAAACCAC
rnacentral:lncRNA from 1 species